rnacentral:piRNA from 1 species
UGAGCCAAGUUUGGACCAAAGGGCUG